GACGAACGCUGGCGGCGUGCUUAACACAUGCAAGUCGAACGGAAAGGCCCUGCUUUUGUGGGGUGCUCGAGUGGCGAACGGGUGAGUAACACGUGAGUAACCUGCCCUUGACUUUGGGAUAACUUCAGGAAACUGGGGCUAAUACCGGAUAGGAGCUCCUGCUGCAUGGUGUGGGUUGGAAAGUUUCGGCGGUUGGGGAUAGACUCGCGGCUUAUCAGCUUGUUGGUGGGGUAGUGGCUUACCAAGGCUUUGACGGGUAGCCGGCCUGAGAGGUUGACCGGGCACAUUGGGACUGAGAUACGGCCCAGACUCGUACGGGAGGCAGCAGUGGGGAAUAUUGCACAGUGAGCGGAAGCCUGAUGCAGCAACGCCGCGUGCGGGAUGACGGCCUUCGGGUUGUAAACCGCUUUCGCCUGUGACGAAGCGUGAGUGACGGUAAUGGGUAAAGAAGCACCGGCUAACUACGUG
rnacentral:rRNA from 1 species